UGAGUCGGCCGGGCGGCCGCGUCGGAGGGCUCCAUGAGGGGCUUCCGCCGAGGAACGUCCGGGCUCCACAGGGCAGGGCGGUGGGUAACACCCACCCGGGGUGACCCGCGAGCAAGUGCAACAGAGAGCAGACCGCCUGGGAGACCAGGUAAGGGUGAAACGGUGGUGUAAGAGACCACCAGCGCCCCCGGUGACGGGGGCGGCUGGGUAAACCUCGCCCGGAGCAAGACCAGACAGUACGCGCCUGAGGGCUGCCCGCCCGAGCGUACGGGUAGGUUGCUGGAGGGGCGUGGCAACACGUCCCCGAGAUGGAUGGUCGCCGCCCCCGCGAGGGGGACACAGAACCCGGCGUACAGGCCGGCUCAUUCG
rnacentral:RNase_P_RNA from 1 species